rnacentral:miRNA from 3 species
AGUUUGUAGCAUCCAGCUGAGCU